rnacentral:rRNA from 1 species
CCUACGGGAGGCAGCAGUGGGGAAUUUUGGACAAUGGGCGCAAGCCUGAUCCAGCCAUGCCGCGUGCAGGAUGAAGGCCUUCAGGGUUGUAAACUGCUUUUGUACGGAACGAAAAGACUCCUUCUAAUAAAGGGGGUCCAUGACGGUACCGUAAGAAUAAGCACCGGCUAACUACGUGCCAGCAGCCGCGGUAAUACGUAGGGUGCAAGCGUUAAUCGGAAUUACUGGGCGUAAAGCGUGCGCAGGCGGUUAUAUAAGACAGAUGUGAAAUCCCCGGGCUCAACCUGGGAACUGCAUUUGUGACUGUAUAGCUAGAGUACGGCAGAGGGGGAUGGAAUUCCGCGUGUAGCAGUGAAAUGCGUAGAUAUGCGGAGGAACACCGAUGGCGAAGGCAAUCCCCAUGGGCCUGGUACUGACGCUCAUGCACGAAAGCGUGGGGAGCAAACAGGAUUAGAUACCCUGGUAGUCCACGCCCUAAACGAUGUCAACUGGUUGUUGGAAUUCACUUUCUCAGUAACCGAAGCUAACACGUGGAAGUUGACCGCCUGGGGGAGUACGG